rnacentral:rRNA from 1 species
GUGCCAGCAGCCGCGGUAAGACAGAGGUGCCGAGCGUUAGGCGGAAUCACUGGGCUUAAAGCGUGUGUAGGCGGAUCCGUAAGUACCUUGUGAAAUCCCACGGCUCAACCGUGGAACUGCUCGGUAUACUGCGGGUCUUGAGCCACUUAGGGGCAACCGGAACAAACGGUGGAGCGGUGAAAUGCGUAGAUAUCGUUUGGAACGCCGAUGGUGAAAACAGGUUGCUGGGAGUGCGCUGACGCUGAGACACGAAAGCCAGGGGAGCGAACGGGAUUAGAUACCCCAGUAGUCC